rnacentral:tRNA from 1 species
GGUCGGUUAGCUCAGUUGGCCAGAGCGCAUACUUGACGUGUAUGAGGUCGCGGGUUCGAGCCCUGCACCGACCA